UUGUUUACGUCCCCAUGUCAUGAAACGAGACGAAAAAAUGGGCGAAACAAAACAAAUUGUUGCUAUUUAUACUUAUAUUCCUGUGAUUUCAAAUACCAAAUGGAUCUUCGUAUCUUGUAUGCAUAGCUUAUUAGCUACUGUCAGCCAUCCCAACUAGUUGACUUCUAGCACUCAGUCACUUUCCAUCCAUUAGAUCUCCAUGCUGUCAAAAGCCUAAAACCCAUGUUUGAAGCACACAUAUAGUGGAAUAUAAAUGUGCGGGUAUAAGGUAUUUUCCCAUUACUGCUACCACACCAACCACACUACGUCAAAUGCCUUACUAAAUCAUCACUCAUAUGAUAAAGCAUCAGGAAAUUUACCCCAUCUGAGGAGUAAUGCAGUUGGUUGCUGUAAUUCGAUUAUUACAAGUUUUCAUCAUGAACAUUUCAGUGUGCUUCUUAUAAAAGAGCACGCAAG